ACAAUUUGGAGUAGCCAUGUGCAGACAAGGCCGUCCAUAAAGGGGGAGAAAUGGGAAACUAUCUGGCGCACAGCCAAACUGGGCGCCCAUGGAGUUUAUUAAGCUGACGUGCCGGAUGGAUUCGGCAGUGAAAAACAAGGAAACGGGCGUAUCCAUCUGCUUUGCAAGGCUACCAAAUGCAUCAGACCUGGGAUCUUUAGAGAAAGACUAUUAAAAGAUGAGCAAUGAUUAAAAAUCAGAGAAACAUAUUUUUAUGAAGGCGGAUCAUUGUAUUUAACUACUAAAGA